rnacentral:rRNA from 1 species
UACAGAGGUCUCAAGCGUUGUCCGGAAUCAUUGGGCGUAAAGCGCGUGUAGGCGGCCCGAUAAGUCCGCUGUGAAAGUCCAGGCUCAACCCUGGAAUGCCGGUGGAUACUGUCGGGCUCGAGUCCGGAAGAGGCGAGUGGAAUUCCUGGUGUAGCGGUGAAAUGCGCAGAUAUCAGGAGGAACACCAAUGGGCGAAGGCAGCUCGCUGGGACGGUACUGACGCUGAGACGCGAAAGCGUGGGGAGCAAACAGG